UACAGUUUGCUGUAUUCGGAUUUUUUUCAUCAUCACAGGCUUGCAAAUUUUGGUUAAAAUGCCAGUGUGUAUUUUAUGUUUCCAUUUUCCAUCAAUUCAUCUUGUAGAAAAACCGUCGCCCAAAUGCAUAUGGAGUACUCAAGCUGAACAAGCCAAUUGGAUGGUAGAAUAUGCUAUCAGGCUUAAAGUUUAUAGUGAGGUUUGAAGAGAAAAUAUAGAAAAGUACUUCAAUUGUAAGUGCAUGCUUACGGAGUUCUAUCAUGCACAAUCAUGUGUGCACAUCGGUCUAUCCAGAAGAUUAGCUCGCGACCCUCUCCGCCGGCUCCCCGGGGGUCGCAUCCGGCUUGCCGCAAGUACACCUACGCCGCCGCCUCCCCGGGGGCCGCAAGGUGAAGUGGACGACCGGGGAGAAGGCAUGUGGCGGGGGGCAGGCUCUCAAGUGGGAGACAGAGCUCGCCUCCCCCAACGACGACAACUUCGACCUCAAGUGGAAGUGGGAGGCCAAGUCCAAGCCUGGCGCCGUUGGCAGGCCAAAACCAAGUGGGGCACUGAGGAAGCCAACAAGGAUGACAAGAAGAAGCCGGUGAGGAAGUGUGUCCAGAGCAAGGAGAUCCCCGUUGGCUGGACGUCCAGAUCGAGACUUCAUUUGAUAGACGCAAUAAUAGGAACUGGCUUCUAUGGUGUACGAGACAAGCUCAAGCACUACAAGGACACAAUGGGCAUUUUCUAAUGAGUUGUGGAAAUAGGGCAUACCAUUAAGUAUUAGAACCAUCAGAAGGUAAUGAUGGGGCAAAACUUCUCUAGGAAAGGACUUGCCAUCCCCUUCCAAUACAACUCGGCGUCACCGGGUAAGACGCUGAUACAUUACAAGGCAGAUCUCAGCUGAACUCUCCCUCCCCGCCCUGGAGUCCAAGCGUUUGUGGCCUACAUCCGUGAGCUCCAUGUCUCCGUCCCUCCACCGAGCAGCGGCACACACACAAGGGGAUCAAGCGCAACCAAAUGGACGAUGCUCCUUCCUGCCACACCCAUGUGUCCCGUUCAGAUUACAGGUUGCAUGUAUGAAUAUCCAAGUGGGAUGCUUGAUCUAUUUACUGAAACAAGACGUGUUUAUAUAUGUCAAAAUGUCUGUUGGAGAGGCACGAAAGCGCAAAGGUCGUGAUGUGUAAGGAUUUAAUCAAGGAGACAACCCGGUAGAGCUAUCAAGUGUUAGGGUAUAGCCUAACUAAGUAGGUUUAUUAUCUCCCAUUGCAUCUCUCUUGAUCAAGACAUGCCAUGACCUGGUUUAUUGUAUUUGUUAUGUUAUAAUGGAUUGUCUUGGCUUGCUUUUGGACUAAAGCCUUUUGUAGUUGUCUGGAUCAAUUGCUAUGUACUGGAUGUGUAUGUAUCGAUGCAAUGCUUCUGAUAUAAACUUGAUAUAUUA